UACGUAGGGGGGCUAGCGUUGUCCGGAAUCAUUGGGCGUAAAGCGCGUGUAGGCGGUCCGGUAAGUCCGCUGUGAAAGUCGGGGGGCUCAACCCUCGAAUGCCGGUGGAUACUGUCGGGCUAGAGUACGGAAGAGGCGAGUGGAAUUCCUGGUGUAGCGGUGAAAUGCGCAGAUAUCAGGAGGAACACCAAUUGCGAAGGCAGCUCGCUGGGACGUUACUGACGCUGAGACGCGAAAGCGUGGGGAGCAAACAGG
rnacentral:rRNA from 1 species